AGGUCGGGAACUCAAAGGAGACUGCCAGUGAUAAACUGGAGGAAGGUGGGGAUGACGUCAAGUCAUCAUGGCCCUUACGACCAGGGCUACACACGUGCUACAAUGGCGCAUACAAAGAGAAGCGACCUCGCGAGAGCAAGCGGACCUCAUAAAGUGCGUCGUAGUCCGGAUUGGAGUCUGCAACUCGACUCCAUGAAGUCGGAAUCGCUAGUAAUCGUGGAUCAGAAUGCCACGGUGAAUACGUUCCCGGGCCUUGUACACACCGCCCGUCACACCAUGGGAGUGGGUUGCAAAAGAAGUAGGUAGCUUAACCUUCGGGAGGGCGCUUACCACUUUGUGAUUCAUGACUGGGGUGAAGUCGUAACAAGGUAACCGUAGGGGAACCUGCGGUUGGAUCACCUCCUU
rnacentral:rRNA from 1 species